rnacentral:rRNA from 1 species
CCUACGGGUGGCUGCAGUGGGGAAUAUUGGACAAUGGGGGCAACCCUGAUCCAGCCAUGCCGCGUGUGUGAAGAAGGCCCUCGGGUUGUAAAGCACUUUCAGUGAGGAAGAACGCCUGGUGGUUAAUACCCAUCAGGAAAGACAUCACUCACAGAAGAAGCACCGGCUAACUCCGUGCCAGCAGCCGCGGUAAUACGGAGGGUGCGAGUGUUAAUCGGAAUUACUGGGCGUAAAGCGCGCGUAGGUGGCUUGAUAAGCCGGUUGUGAAAGCCCCGGGCUCAACCUGGGAACGGCAUCCGGAACUGUCAAGCUAGAGUGCAGGAGAGGAAGGUAGAAUUCCCGGUGUAGCGGUGAAAUGCGUAGAGAUCGGGAGGAAUACCAGUGGCGAAGGCGGCCUUCUGGACUGACACUGACACUGAGGUGCGAAAGCGUGGGUAGCAAACAGGAUUAGAUACCCUUGUAGUC